CGGAACGGGUGAGUAACGCGUGAGGAACCUGCCUCAAAGAGGGGGGACAACGGUUGGAAACGACUGCUAAUACCGCAUAAGCCCACGGCUCGGCAUCGAGCAGAGGGAAAAGGAGCAAUCCGCUUUGAGAUGGCCUCGCGUCCGAUUAGCUAGUUGGCGAGGUAACGGCCCACCAAGGCAACGAUCGGUAGCCGGACUGAGAGGUUGAACGGCCACAUUGGGACUGAGACACGGCCCAG
rnacentral:rRNA from 1 species